rnacentral:rRNA from 1 species
GACGAACGCUGGCGGCGUGCUUAACACAUGCAAGUCGAACGGAAAGGCUCCAGCUUGCUGGAGUGCUCGAGUGGCGAACGGGUGAGUAACACGUGGGCAAUCUGCCCUGCACUCUGGGAUAAGCCUGGGAAACUGGGUCUAAUACCGGAUAGGACCUUUCUCCUCAUGGGGUUUGGUGGAAAGUUUUUCGGUGCAGGAUGAGCCCGCCGCCUAUCAGCUUGUUGGUGGGGUAAUGGCCUACCAAGGCGACGACGGGUAGCCGGCCUGAGAGGGUGAUCGGCCACAUUGGGACUGAGAUACGGCCCAGACUCCUACGGGAGGCAGCAGUGGGGAAUAUUGCACAAUGGGCGAAAGCCUGAUGCAGCGACGCCGCGUGAGGGAUGACGGCCUUCGGGUUGUAAACCUCUUUCAGUAGGGACGAAGCGCAAGUGACGGUACCUGCAGAAGAAGCACCGGCUAACUACGUG